AUGCAGAUUUUCAUGAAAACCCUUACAGGGAAGACUGUCACUCCUGAGGUUGAACCCUCGGAUACAAUAGAACAUGUAAAGGCCAAGAUCCAGGAUAAGAAGGAAUUCCUCCUGAUCAGCAAAAACAAAUCUUUGCUGGCAAGCAACUGGAAGAUGGACGUACACUGUCUGACUACAGCAUUCAAAAGGAGUCUGCCCUUCAUUUUGUGUUGAGACUUCGUUAUGAGACUCCAACUCAAAAAAAAAAAACCAAAAAGAAAAAGAAAAGGAAGAAGUCUUACACCAAGAAGAAUAAGCAUAAGAGAAAAAAGCUUAAGCUGGUUGUCCUGAAGAACUAUAAGGUGGAUGAGAAUGGCAAAAUUAGUUCCCCUCGUCGAGAGUGUCCUUCAGAUAAAUGUGGUGCCGGAGUUUUUAUGGCCAGUCACUUUGACAGAUAUUAUGGUGGCAAAUGUUGUCUGACUUAUUGCUUCAACAAACCAGAAGACAAGUAAUUGUGUAUGAGUUAAUAAAAGACAUGAACUAAAAAAAAAA